rnacentral:rRNA from 1 species
UACGUAGGGUCCGAGCGUUUGUCCGGAAUUACUGGGCGUAAAGAGCUCGUAGGUGGUUUGUCGCGUUGUUCGUGAAAACUCACAGCUCAACUGUGGGCGUGCGGGCGAUACGGGCAGACUAGAGUACUGCAGGGGAGACUGGAAUUCCUGGUGUAGCGGUGGAAUGCGCAGAUAUCAGGAGGAACACCGGUGGCGAAGGCGGGUCUCUGGGCAGUAACUGACGCUGAGGAGCGAAAGCGUGGGGAGCGAACAGG